UACGGAGGGGGCUAGCGUUGUUCGGAAUUACUGGGCGUAAAGCGAACGUAGGCGGUGUUCCAUGUCAGAGGUGAAAGCCUGGGGCUCAACUCCAGAAUUGCCUUUGAAACGGGAACGCUUGAGUCCGAGAGAGGGUGGCGGAAUUCCUAGUGUAGAGGUGAAAUUCGUAGAUAUUAGGAAGAACACCAGUGGCGAAGGCGGCCACCUGGCUCGGUACUGACGCUCAGGUUCGAAAGCGUGGGGAGCAAACAGG
rnacentral:rRNA from 1 species